rnacentral:lncRNA from 1 species
AUGAAAUAGUGGGUGUGCGUAUAUCUAAAGGAUGGAAAACGUUACUUGGAAUGAAUACCAGAGAGUACUUUGGAGUAUUAGGAGAUAAGAGCGAGUUAAGUAAAUGUUUAUCGGAAAAGGUUGAGUAUGAAAAAGUCGGUGCAGAUUAGUAAGAUUGAAUUCAUUGUACUUGUUGUAAUGAAGAAAUGAUUAGCAUAAGUGUAGUAUGUGAUGAGAAAAUAAAAGAUUUCAGAUAUUGUAAUCGUGGAC